CUCUAUUUUAUUCUAGCGCAUAUUAUAUUGACUCGAGACUAGUGAGUUUUACAAAAAUCGAUUGUGGGGCGUUAGGUUGACGGAAAUUUGAACCCCUCGAACGACCAGAUUCAUUAUUAUACCUAUCAUCGAUAAUUGUCCCAUGUAUAUUGUACGUUUCUACCAAAAUAUCACAUUGACAACAAUUGUAUCUCAAAAUAAAUUAUAUAGGUCAAUUAAUUUAAAUGAAUUCAAGUAACAAUGUGAAAAAAAAAUAUCAUUACCAUUUUACAUUUUAUUGUUUUAAUUAGCCAGCAGAGAAACACACCAACGUCACCAACUAUAUUUACAUACUUAUUAUAGUAACAAGACACCUACUAUAGUAAAAUAGGUGUACCUAGAGUGUCUAGAUAAAAAUAAACAAUCUUUUACAAAAAUAUAAGUAUGAAAUCAGUUGGAGAGAAAGUGAAGACUAAUAAUUAUAAGUGCUGCUUUUUAUUUUAUGCGUGGAUAACAACGUUAAAAAAUUAAAAAAAUAGUCAUAAGACCGACUUCUAUAAUGGAAAUAUUCACAUGUGAAUUUAAAAUAUGCAUCAAGACAUUUAGAUUAUCAAACUUUGUUGAACUCUCUUCGAAACGCAGUUUG